rnacentral:rRNA from 1 species
ACUGGGACUAGAAUGCAGAUAGACCGUGGGUGAAAGCUCAUUUUGUAGCAAUACACAGUCUGUAAGGUGCUGCAUGGCUGUCGUCAGCUCGUGCCGUGAGGUGUUGGGUUAAGUCCCGCAACGAGCGCAACCCCCAUCAUUAGUUGCCUGAUGUCAAGUCAUCAUGGCCUUUAUUCUCAGGGCUACACACGUGCUACAAUGGAAGAGAUGAUGUCAAGUCAUCAUGGCCUUUAUUCUCAGGGCUACACACGUGCUACAAUGGAAGAGACAAAGAGCUGCCACUUGGCGACAAGGCGCUAAUCUCAAAAACUCUUUCUCAGUUCAGAUCGCAGUCUGCAACUCGACUGCGUGAAGCUGGAAUCGCUAGUAAUCGUAUAUCAGCAAUGAUACGGUGAAUACGUUCCCGGACCUUGCACACACCGCCCGUCAAGCCAUGGAAGCUGGGUGUACCUAAAGUCGGUAACCGUCAAGGAGCCGCCUAGGGUAAUAACUAGUGACUGGGGUG